rnacentral:rRNA from 1 species
GUGGGGAAUAUUGCACAAUGGGGGAAACCCUGAUGCAGCGACGCCGCGUGAGUGAAGAAGUAUUUCGGUACGUAAAGCUCUAUCAGCAAGGAAGAAAAUGACGGUACUUGACUAAGAAGCCCCGGCUAACUACGUGCCAGCAGCCGCGGUAAUACGUAGGGGGCAAGCGUUAUCCGGAUUUACUGGGUGUAAAGGGAGCGUAGACGGUAUGGUAAGUCAGAUGUGAAAGCCCGGGGCUCAACCCCGGGACUGCAUUUGAAACUAUCAGACUAGAGUGCAGGAGAGGUAAGUGGAAUUCCUAGUGUAGCGGUGAAAUGCGUAGAUAUUAGGAGGAACACCAGUGGCGAAGGCGGCUUACUGGACUGUAACUGACGUUGAGGCUCGAAAGCGUGGGGAGCAAACAGGAUUAGAUACCCCAGUAGUCC